UUAGCGAUCCUCCCGCUUCAGCCUCCCGAGUGCUGGGAUUACAGUGGACUCUGCAUUUCAGAGACGCAGUGGACCAGAGCAGCACAUGGAGGAAGCCCGGGACUGCGGUGGUUUAACUGAAGACCCGGCUAAGACACUCUCAGGUCCCGAAUCGUACCGCCUUGCAGCGCGGCAUUUCAGCCCUGCCCCUGGGAACCUGCGUCCUAGCGAGGUCUCUGUCCCCUCCGGCACCCACAACCUGAUGGAGAGGGGUUCAUUCCCGGCGGUUUCCAUCCGCAGCCAGCGGGCCAGGGCAGAAGCAGCGUGGGGAGAGCAGGCUGGCAGAGGAAGGCGGCCGGCGUCAUGGUGACCGGGAAGCCCAGGGGACAGGAGAGGUGCCCGGAGGCAGAGGCGCCCUUGCCGGCCGGCCCCUUCCCGCCCUUUCACCCGGGCCCUGCCGCAGGAGCACGUCUAGGUGUUCCCGGGGAUCCACCCACGGACCAGUCCUUCCGGAAGCUCCACCUCGGCACGCACAGGCUUGCGGGGACACUGUGGAUCUAACGCUCACCCCAGGCUCUCCGGGGCCUCCUGAGAGCGCACUGCGGACACCCUGGAGAACCUCUGUCCCGGCGCGGCGCAGUCGGGCAGCGCUUCCAACGUCUGAAAACAUUAAUUCUCCUAAGUGUCGCACCUGGACGCGCGCCUGGCCGUGCACCCCGCGGCGAUGGGAAGUGAGCACACAGUAGGGCGGCGACUCGGAACCGGGUCGCACCUCUCCUGCGCUCCCGCUCGCGGCACGGGGUCCGGUAGGUGCUCAGAAUUCAGGGCCACAGCGGACGUUGAGGGGUCCCUGGGAUUCUUCACGCAGCCCGGAGCGACAGCGCGAUGGCCUGUGCCGAGUGCCUAGGCCCUCCCGAGUCCAGCGGGCCUUCGGUCCGGUGCCGCCCGCCUGCAGCCGCUUCCGCACAUUCUGAGCGGCUUACCUCAUCGCUGCUUCACACAGCUAAGAAAACCGGGAAGGUGGCUAUCGUAUUUUUUAAGCAAUUAAAUGCUAAUUACUUGACAUUAA